rnacentral:rRNA from 1 species
UGAUCCUGGCUCAGAACGUACGCUGGCGGCACGCCUAACACAUGCAAGUCGAACGAAGUAGCAAUACUUAGUGGCAGACGGGUGAGUAACAUGUAGGUAUCUGCCCUUUGGCCUGGAAUAACACGAGGAAACUUGUGCUAAUACCGGAUAAGUCUUUACGGAGAAAGCUUUAUGCACCAUUGGAUGAGCCUGCACUUGAUUAGUUUGUUGGUGGGGUAAUGGCCUACCAAGACUGUGAUCAAUAGCUGAUUUGAGAGGAUGAUCAGCCACAUUGGGACUGAGACACGGCCCAAACUCCUACGGGAGGCAGCAGUGGGGAAUCUUGCACAAUGGAGGAAACUCUGAUGCAGCGAUGCCGCGUGAGUGAAGAAGGCCUUUGGGUUGUAAAGCUCUUUCGUCGGGGAAGAAAAUGACUGUACCCGAAUAAGAAGGUCCGGCUAACUUCGUGCCAGCAGCCGCGGUAAUACGAAGGGACCUAGCGUAGUUCGGAAUUACUGGGCUUAAAGAGUUCGUAGGUGGUUGAAAAAGUUAGUGGUGAAAUCCCAGAGCUUAACUCUGGAACUGCCAUUAAAACUUUUCAGCUAGAGUAUGAUAGAGGAAAGCAGAAUUUCUAGUGUAGAGGUGAAAUUCGUAGAUAUUAGAAAGAAUACCAAUUGCGAAGGCAGCUUUCUGGAUCAUUACUGACACUGAGGAACGAAAGCAUGGGUAGCGAAGAGGAUUAGAUACCCUCGUAGU